GAUGUGUAGGAUAGGUGGGAGGCUUUGAAGUGUGGACGCCAGUCUGCAUGGAGCCAACCUUGAAAUACCACCCUUUAAUGUUUGAUGUUCUAACGUGGACCCGUAAUCCGGGUUGCGGACAGUGUCUGGUGGGUAGUUUGACUGGGGCGGUCUCCUCCCAAAGAGUAACGGAGGAGCACGAAGGUUGGCUAAUCCUGGUCGGACAUCAGGAGGUUAGUGCAAUGGCAUAAGCCAGCUUGACUGCGAGCGUGACGGCGCGAGCAGGUGCGAAAGCAGGUCAUAGUGAUCCGGUGGUUCUGAAUGGAAGGGCCAUCGCUCAACGGAUAAAAGGUACUCCGGGGAUAACAGGCUGAUACCGCCCAAGAGUUCAUAUCGACGGCGGUGUUUGGCACCUCGAUGUCGGCUCAUCACAUCCUGGGGCUGAAGUAGGUCCCAAGGGUAUGGCUGUUCGCCAUUUAAAGUGGUACGCGAGCUGGGUUUAGAACGUCGUGAGACAGUUCGGUCCCUAUCUGCCGUGGGCGCUGGAGAAUUGAGGGGGGCUGCUCCUAGUACGAGAGGACCGGAGUGGACGCAUCACUGGUGUU
rnacentral:rRNA from 1 species